UACGUAGGGGGCAAGCGUUGUCCGGAUUUAUUGGGCGUAAAGAGCGUGUAGGCGGCCAGGUAGGUCAGCUGUGAAAACUCGAGGCUCAACCUCGAGACGCCGGUUGAAACCAUCUGGCUAGAGUCCGGAAGAGGAGAGUGGAAUUCCUGGUGUAGCGGUGAAAUGCGCAGAUAUCAGGAAGAACGCCCGUGGCUAAGGCGGCUCUCUAGUACGGUACUGACGCUGAGACGCGAAAGCGUGGGGAGCGAACAGG
rnacentral:rRNA from 1 species